UUUAAAGAGAGUUUGAUCCUGGCUCAGGACGAACGCUGGCGGCGUGCCUAAUACAUGCAAGUCGAACGAACGGAGGAAGAGCUUGCUCUUCCAAAGUUAGUGGCGGACGGGUGAGUAACACGUGGGCAACCUGCCUGUAAGUUGGGGAUAACUCCGGGAAACCGGGGCUAAUACCGAAUGAUAAAGUGUGGCGCAUGCCAUGCUUUUGAAAGAUGGUUUCGGCUAUCGCUUACAGAUGGGCCCGCGGUGCAUUAGCUAGUUGGUAGGGUAAUGGCCUACCAAGGCAACGAUGCAUAGCCGACCUGAGAGGGUGAUCGGCCACACUGGGACUGAGACACGGCCCAGACUCCUACGGGAGGCAGCAGUAG
rnacentral:rRNA from 1 species